UAUCCAACCUGCCGAUAACUCGGGGAUAGCCUUUCGAAAGAAAGAUUAAUACCCGAUGGCAUAAUAGAACCGCAUGGUUGAUUACUAAAGAAUUUCGGUUAUCGAUGGGGAUGCGUUCCAUUAGGCAGUUGGUGGGGUAACGGCCCACCAAGCCUUCGAUGGAUAGGGGUUCUGAGAGGAAGGUCCCCCACAUUGGAACUGAGACACGGUCCAAACUCCUACGGGAGGCAGCAUG
rnacentral:rRNA from 1 species